UGGGGAAUCUUGCGCAAUGGACGAAAGUCUGACGCAGCCACGCCGCGUGAGUGAAGAAGGCCUUCGGGUUGUAAAGCUCUGUCGGAGGGGACAAAAACCAUUAAGGUGAAUAGCCUUAGUGCUUGAUGGUACCCUCAAAGGAAGCACCGGCUAACUUCGUGCCAGCAGCCGCGGUAAUACGAAGGGUGCAAGCGUUGCUCGGAAUUAUUGGGCGUAAAGGGUAGGUAGGUGGUUGCGUAUGUCUGAGGUGAAAUCCCCGAGCUUAACUUGGGAAGUGCCUUGGAAACGGCGUAACUAGAGUAUUGGAGAGGUUCGUGGAAUUCCCGGUGUAGCGGUGAAAUGCGUAGAGAUCGGGAGGAACAUCAGAGGCGAAGGCGACGAACUGGACAAUUACUGACACUGAACUACGAAAGCGUGGGGAGCAAACA
rnacentral:rRNA from 1 species